UACGUAGGGACCAAGCGUUGUUCGGAUUUACUGGGCGUAAAGAGCGUGUAGGCGGCCAGGUAGGUCCGUUGUGAAAACUGGAGGCUUAACCUCCAGCUGUCGAUGGAAACCAUCUGGCUAGAGUCCGGAAGAGGAGAGUGGAAUUCCUGGUGUAGCGGUGAAAUGCGCAGAUAUCAGGAGGAACACCGGUGGCGAAGGCGGGUCUCUGGGCCGAUACUGACGCUGAGGAGCGAAAGCGUGGGGAGCGAACAGG
rnacentral:rRNA from 1 species